rnacentral:rRNA from 1 species
CCUACGGGCGGCAGCAGUGAGGAAUAUUGGUCAAUGGGCGCGAGCCUGAACCAGCCAAGUAGCGUGAAGGAUGACUGCCCUACGGGUUGUAAACUUCUUUUAUAAAGGAAUAAAGUGAGGCACGUGUGCCGUUUUGGAUGUACGGUAUGAAUAAGGAUCGGCUAACUCCGUGCCAGCAGCCGCGGUAAUACGGAGGAUCCGAGCGUUAUCCGGAUUUAUUGGGUUUAAAGGGAGCGUAGUUGGGUUGUUAAGUCAGUUGUGUAAGUUUGCGGCUCAACCGGAAAAUUGCACUUGCUACUGGCAGUCUUGCGUACAGUUGCCGUAGGCGGAAUUCGUGGUGUCGCGGUGCAAUGCU